CAAUAGCGUGUAUUAAAGUUGUUGCAGUUACAAAGCUCGUAGUUGGAUUUCUGGUAGGAGCGACCGUGCCGAACUUGAUUGUUCGAGUAUUGUGUUGUCUUCAGCCAUCCUCGUGGAGAACUUUUCUAACAUUAACUUGUUGGGAUUGGGACCCGCGUCGUUUACUGUGAAAAAAUUAGAGUGUUUAAAGCAGGCAUUAGCUUGAAUACAUUAGCAUGGAAUAAUAAGAUAGGACUUUGGUACUAUUUUGUUGGUUUGCAUACCAAAUUAAUGAUCAACAGGAACAGUUUGAGGAUAUUCGUAUGAACAUGUCAGAGGUGAAAUUCUUGGAUUUUGAUCAGACGAACUACUGCGAAAGCAUUUAUCAAGGAUGUUUUCAUUAA
rnacentral:rRNA from 1 species